rnacentral:rRNA from 1 species
GUGGGGAAUCUUGCGCAAUGGGCGAAAGCCUGACGCAGCCAUGCCGCGUGAAUGAUGAAGGUCUUAGGAUUGUAAAAUUCUUUCACCGGGGACGAUAAUGACGGUACCCGGAGAAGAAGCCCCGGCUAACUUCGUGCCAGCAGCCGCGGUAAUACGAAGGGGGCUAGCGUUGCUCGGAAUUACUGGGCGUAAAGGGCGCGUAGGCGGACAGUUUAGUCAGAGGUGAAAGCCCAGGGCUCAACCUUGGAAUUGCCUUUGAUACUGGCUGUCUUGAGUACGGGAGAGGUGAGUGGAACUCCGAGUGUAGAGGUGAAAUUCGUAGAUAUUCGGAAGAACACCAGUGGCGAAGGCGACUCACUGGCCCGUUACUGACGCUGAGGCGCGAAUGCGUGGGGAGCAAACAGGAUUAGAAACCCCUGUAGUCC